AUGGCCUUGGCGGCAAGUGUCUGCUGUUUGACCACAGGUCUCUGGGGAGAGAAGGCACCUGACUUGGAGCGCUGGGUAGGUUCCGCGGCCGGUGCUCCUGCUGCAGCCCGUCAAUCUGCCAGUCUGCGUGCAACAUUCUCAGAUGCCAGCCGCUGGGGGCUGGGUGAGCUGCGCCAGCACAGGCCUGCUCAGGUGCACCAGCCACCCGCACCCUCAGCUUCUGCACUUCUCGAAAGGCCUCACUCAAGGGCGCAUCCCCUCCACGACUGUGUGUGUCCUUGCUGCCUGCCAUCAGACGGAUCCUGGACGAACUCGCCCUCGUCACUCAGUGCCCAAGGGAAGGGGCGCUGCGGGGAGUCGCGGUGGUGCAGGCGUCACUGCUCCGUGCUCUGCUGUGCCGAGGAGGGCUGGAAUCCUGCAUUGCACGGAUUGGCUGGGUGUUCUGUAACACUGCCACACCUCAUGGGUAAACGUACCUAUCGCCAUGUGGGCAAAGAGCCACUUCCUUACGCCUGUAUGAGAACGCCCCUCGGACCACUGCGGAAAAGUCAAUCUCUCGGCCUCUUUUUGUGUCUCCAUGAAUUAUUCAAAAAGCAAACCAAGGGAGGAAUUUGGCUCACGCCACACAAAGAGCGCAUUGAUAUGCGGCAAGAAUGAGCGGACGAGCGGUGAGGACACACGGCCUCUCCCGGGGACAGCAGGGCUGGAGGCUCACUCACAAUACCCGGCAGAGGGACCGCCCUCGGACUCUCCUGGCUGCAGUGCGUAAUCUUGGUGAGGGACGAGCUUCCGGCUGUGACGGCGACGGAGCAGCGAGAGGGCAGUCGGCCAGGGCAGAGAGGGGACAGCGGAGCCCAGGAGCAAGUUUGUCAACCGGCAGGCUCUGUACCGGCCGUGACCUCCUGCGGCCACCUCAUUUCCUGGACCUGUUAUCUUGCUUUUUUUGCCAUAAAGAAAUGUGCCCACUGAUAUCUUUGAAAUGACAUUCUGUACACAGUUAUCCAUGCUAGAAUUGCUUGCAAUUGUAAAAGGUUGGAACUGACGUAGAGAGCUGGUGAGCUCAGCUAUGGACAGCCACACCAGGCGACAUCUGAGAGCUGCCACACACAGAAAGACCUCCUGUUAAGUGUGCAACGUUGACUUCAGACUGCCACACAGUGUAUGAAAAACAGGAGAAAAAAAAAAAAAAAACCAAUGAAGAAACACAGAAAGUGGUAAGGAAAGGAGGUGAUGACUGGCCUUAGGAACAUAGGUCUCACCCUCAAUGCACGUGUGUACACACACACACUGCCCCCCAACCCCGCCCCGGCCACCACUCCCUCU
rnacentral:lncRNA from 1 species